GACGAACGCUGGCGGCGUGCUUAACACAUGCAAGUCGAACGGAAAGGCCCUGCUUUUGUGGGGUGCUCGAGUGGCAAACGGGUGAGUAACACGUGAGUAACCUGCCCUUGACUUUGGGAUAACUUCAGGAAACUGGGGCUAAUACCGGAUAGGAGCUCCUGCUGCAUGGUGGGGGUUGGAAAGUUUCGGCGGUUGGGGAUGGACUCGCGGCUUAUCAGCUUGUUGGUGGGGUAGUGGCUUACCAAGGCUUUGACGGGUAGCCGGCCUGAGAGGGUGACCGGCCACAUUGGGACUGAGAUACGGCCCAGACUCCUACGGGAGGCAGCAGUGGGGAAUAUUGCACAAUGGGCGGAAGCCUGAUGCAGCAACGCCGCGUGCGGGAUGGCGGCCUUCGGGUUGUAAACCGCUUUCGCCUGUGACGAAGCGUGAGUGACGGUAAUGGGUAAAGAAGCACCGGCUAACUACGUG
rnacentral:rRNA from 1 species